rnacentral:misc_RNA from 1 species
GAUGAAGAACGUAGCGAAAUGCGAUAAGUAAUGCGAAUUGCAGAAUUCAGUGAGUCAUCGAAUCUUUGAACGCACAUUGCGCUCCCUGGUAUUCCGGGGAGCAUGCCUGUUCGAGCGUCAUUACAACCCUCAAGCUCUGCUUGGUGUUGGGCCCCGCCGCCCCGGCGGGCCCUAAAGUCAGUGGCGGUGCCGUCCGGCUCCGAGCGUAGUAAUUUUUCUCGCUUUGGAGGCCCGGGCGCGUGCUUGCCAUCAACCCCCAAUUUUUUUCAGGUUGACCUCGGAUCAGGUAGGGAUACCCGCUGAACUUAAGCAUAUCAAUAAACGGAGGA